rnacentral:rRNA from 1 species
CAGUAGCCACGGGAAUACGAAGGGGGCUAGCGUUGUUCGGAAUUACUGGGCGUAAAGCGCACGUAGGCGGAUAUUUAAGUCAGGGGUGAAAUCCCAGAGCUCAACUCUGGAACUGCCUUUGAUACUGGGUAUCUUGAGUAUGGAAGAGGUGAGUGGAAUUCCGAGUGUAGAGGUGAAAUUCGUAGAUAUUCGAAGGAACACCAGUGGCGAAGGCGGCUCACUGGUCCAUUACUGACGCUGAGGUGCGAAAGCGUGGGGAGCAAACAGGAUUAGAUACCCCUGUAGUCCCUGUCUCUUAUAC